rnacentral:lncRNA from 1 species
AACACAUAAAAGAAAAUACUGACCAAGCAAUUCUAGUUGAUUCUCAAAACAAAACCUAGCAAUUCUAGCAAAAAAAAAAAGCCCAACGUGUGGGCCUUAGCAAAAUCCAACCCCCUGACUGGCCCCUUGCUGGCUUGUGUGGUCUUCUUUCUUUGUGUGGGCUUAUUGUUUAUGAGUGGAUAAAUAAAUGAAAAGAAAAAAUCAAUGGUGUUCUCGGAACAAAAGGAGCAGAUCGCUACUUGUAUCUAAUGAAACUGAGAAAUAGCAAAACCCAACAGUUAUAUUCCAUUUGUCUCUAACGAAACCUCAUCCCUGAUACUUUCUGUUAACAUACAGCGCCCCAA